AGCUUCUUCCUUUAGGUAAUUUCCUCCAACCAGAACCCUGUCCUCACAGCAAAGCCGCCCUUAUGGAAGUGUCGGUUUCAUAUCUGAGAUGUUUUUGUGUGCGUUUGCUCUGCUUUGACUUGCACAAGGAGAAAGAAAGCAGUUUUUUACUGGAGGCGAAACAGCCACCUGUGAAAACUAAUUGCGUAGGUAGAGGUUUGAUGGUAUCUCUGGGAGAGAUCCAGCCGGAAGAAAAGUAAAUGUUCUCAAUCUAUGCGGAAGUCACCUGUGUGCCAAACUGACCCUCUUUAUCAAAGCCAAGACUGAAAUGUCCCAUCAAGCAUGGGGCUCAUAUUUAGGUGGUGAGAUGGAGUGGGGAGCCAGGGGCCGGGGCCAUGGGGAAGGCAGGUAUAGUCUGUGUUCCUGAACAGCCCUGAUCAGUUAAACAAAAGUCAACAUGGUGGACUCUCCACGGCCUCUUUAGGGGCUGAAUAUGAUGUCCGUGGUGAAUAGUUUGAAGCGAUAGUAUGAGAUGGUACCAUUUUGAGUUCCUCAUUUCUCUUCUCUCACCACUCUUUCCCCUUGAAAAUUUCUUUUUCCUUCUCUAGUGCUGUAGAUUUAGAUUUAUUCCUUGAUCUUACCAUUCUAUUAUAGCAAUUGUUUGCAACAAAAAGGGCAGAGCUAGCUUCAGUGCUGAGGCAGGCACAUAGUGCCACCAUCUGUGGAACCCUGUGUCUGGAUGAUUGUCACAUAGUUAGAAAGCAGAUCCAUCAGUGGCAGGCAUACCGCCUCAUUCUGCCACCAGUGCAGUAGACUGAUCUGGCUGUUCGCUUGGCAGGGUCUGAUCUGUCUUGAGAGGUUCUACAUCUUGUUGUCCUAAGUGUGUGAUGGCUAUGGUCUUGGCAUGAGGCGUGCUGGACAAACAUGCCAGCAUGUUUUCUUCAUUUUUCAGCCAGAGAGGGCUGACAGCACAGAUCUGAUCGAGACUCCUCCAUGGCCUCCCUCUAUGGGAAACCAACACUAGAAAGGACAGAUAAUUUUCUAUUAUAUAAAGCACUACAAAGUUUAGAGAGAUUUUUAGGAAGAGUUACAUGAUCUUUAGAGGAGCCCAAUAAAAAAAAUAAAUAAAUCUUUAGAAAGAGACAAAGAAGUUUUCCAAAAGCUACAUAAACUAAAUAAAGAUGUGAAUUAAAAUGACAUUUACAUGAU
rnacentral:lncRNA from 1 species